GGCCUGGCGCGUCCGCCGAGCGCGGGGGUUUGUUUAUUUUCCCGGUUGGUAGCGGCGCUGGCGCUGGUUAGAGGUUCGCCGGUGACGUGAGCGCCCGAGUUGGGGGAGAGGACCAGAACCACCUGCUGGAGAAAGGGAGCUACGGGGGCCGGGCAGGGUCCAAACGCCUCACGUGGGCGGCGGCGCCACGGUCUUCGGGGUCACAGGGAAGAGAAGGGCUCUCCUCAAGCGGGUGGAAGGAGGGAGGCCUCCCGAGGGAAUGAGACUCCAGGCCACUCCCCCGCAGCAAGGCAGGAUCACCUGCGUCGCGGAGAGCAGUUAGAGGUCCCUGGAGUGGAAAAGGGCAGUGGGACCUGGUAGCUUGGGUUCCCUGCAACUUGGGGUUCGACCUCCAGGCAAUGAAGUAGGGAUGGUCCUGCAAGUCAAGAUUCCAGUAGCAAGAGUGCAUCAGAUCUCUGUAAGGAAAAUAACUAACAUUGCUCAGUUCCCUGUAGAGUUGCAGGGCGCUUUGACGUUAUCUCCCUUGGUUCUCCAUCAGGUCGUAGUGGACUAAUUUUACAGGCGAAGUUAAGUGACUUACCCAAAACCUCACAGCUAAUAAACGGCAGAGCCGGCACCCAGCUGUACUGGCUUCCAGCGCAUCCCAUUAUCUCCAUAAAUCCCCCUGAUUCAACUAAUAUUAGACGCCCCACAGGUAAGAUGCUUCAGAGUUAGAGGGGAGUUGAAGAUACCUUUGCCUUCAAAGAAGUAAGGAAUGAAACAAAGAUAAAACAGACAAUAAAAGACAAACCAUGAUAGGUGCCACGUGAAAAGUGGCAGAGUACUGCCGGGAAUCAAAGAACCGUGUAUAUCUGUCUUGGGGAUAAGGAAAGAAACGCAGCAUGAAGGAGUAGGCAUUUGGGAUUGACCUUGAAGGAGACAGGGAGAGUUUUACAGCAAGAAGGGAUAGCAUGAGAAUAUAUAUGAAGGCGAAUCAGUGAAAGUUGUGUUGGGGAAAGAGCAAAGACUCCAGGUAUGUUGAGAGGUAGAAAAGACAAAGGAGUAUGGGGCCUAAGAUACCAAAUGGAUGAAUUUAUAUUUAAUUCAGUAUUUUGAGUUUUUAUGGUUCAGAAGUUUGGGGGAAGAAAAGGAAGGUUUUUUUUUUCUUUAUGCUAGUGAUUUAUCUGUGAAGGGAAGCAGAAAUCAGAGGUGGAAAAACUGACAGAUCUACUGUAGGCCAGGUAAAAGGUAAUGAUGAGUCUGACCUAAAGGGACAGCCAGGGGAAUUUAAAGAGCAUAGUUGAGAGAUGAUGUGCAUGCAGAAUCUAUAGAAUUUGCUAACUGAUUGAUUAAUUGUGGGUAGGAAGAGAGAAAUCAAAGAAAGUGGAGGUUUUGAGUUUCUAGAUAAUUGCAAGAGAGAAAAGAGACAAUUACAAAGGAAAGGAGAAGGAGCUACUUCUUGAGAGAAGAUCAGUUUAGAUUUAGACAUUUUAAGAAUUCAAAGGGUUGUCAAGACAGCCAGACGGACAUGGACACUAAUAAGUUAGAAAUAAAGGUUUUGUAAUAUGGGAAAGAGGACUGAGCUAGAAAAUAGACUCAUAGAUAAUCAGCCUAGGAGUGAUAUUGCUGUGAGAUAAAAGAAGAAAACAAAGUCAGAAUCUUGGAAAACACCCUCUUCAGAGUCUCGCUGCUCAAAACGUGGUCAGUGGCCCAGCAGCACUGACAUGAGGACCUUAGUUGGAAACUCAGAAUCUCAGGCUCCACCCCAGACCUGCUGAACCAGCAUCUUCAACUUAACAAGAACCCGAAGAGAUUUGUGCCACAUCAAAAAGUUUGAGAAGCUCUGAUCUAGCUGGACCCUGGACACGGUGACUCUGAUUCAAUUAUGCAGAUGACCACAAGCCUCUGGGGUUGGCAGAGCCACAAGAAAGAAGGUGCCUGGAUGAAGGAGAGCUACCCACUGACCUGGACACCCAAUUAUUCAUCUGUCUUAGAGCUAUUGGAAUCCUGGAUCAUUGUGGGAAAUGAAAAGAACUGGUUUUUAGCAAGGAGACCAAGAAACUCUACUCCCUAGGGGCUAGCAAUGAGAGAAAGGAAGCCUUGAGUCUUUGAGCACAGGGUGACAGUUUGGGUCCUAUGUGAGAUGAUCAAAUCCACAGCAACAGAGGAAAGGACAAAAGGAAAAGAUACUUCGAUGGAAUCAGCAGCCAUUGAUCCAAUGCCAACUCCAAGACUGGAACGUCGCAAUGAUAGUUCCAAGGCGGAAAUUUGAC
rnacentral:lncRNA from 1 species